GCUGAUAAAUGUAAGGAAGGGAAAAAGGAAGCGACUACAAGAAGCAGAGUAUCAUAUAUCUAACCUGACCAAAUGCGGUGAGAGCAGCUGUCCCCCAGUAGAACACAUCUACAGUGGGGUGCAAGAUUUAAAUUGUGUGCAAAAAAAGAAGAGGUCCUUGAUUUGCCUGUCCUACCUGAAAUCAGGAGCUUUUCUAAUGGGACCUAUCAGAAGUAAGCAGAUGAAAAAGAAAAUUGAAUGUGAUGAGCUGUGGAUGGAUCAGGGUUGUGCUGGCUUUUGAAGAGGAGGAAAAAUCUAGCAUCCAGCCCUGGAAAGUCUCAGAAGCUGCUGAUGGGGAAGCUGGAGAGAACAAAAUUAUGAAAUGGGAGCCUAAAUCAGAUUCACCAAGAUAACCAUGUUUUACCCCAGGGAACAGCACAGUCAAGCAGGCUCAAAGAGUGGCAGAAUCAGCUAAUGCUGUUCUCAGAAGAAAUGAAGUAGCAGGGGGGUGAAGACCAGCAGGGAACUGGAAAGAUGAAGCAUCGGAAGUGAGCACCUGGUGGUUAUAACAGUUAGGCUUGGGGAUAUUAAGUUUGCUUUCUUCAUAAUUACGGUUGCAUUUCAGUGAUAUAAGAUGGGCAAACCACACCAUCCAGCAUUUCCCUGCUGCACAGAGUCCUGGGGCCAUGGCUGCAUCUGACUAUUCAUGGACGAAAUGCAAAGUGGGCACAAGAUGAACUUACUGUCCACAACUAUCUGAGCUCCUUCCUGAGGGGAAGUGGCACAUCAAUUUCACUCCCGGCCAAAUGACCGUAGCAGCAUAAAGUUUCUGGCAUAAAAUGGAAACCUGGGCAGCUGUCACAGCAGCUUUGCCAAGAAUUAUCUUGCCUGGGCAGCGGCAUCUUAAGGUAUUGCUUGAGCCUCCAAGGCUGACCAGCCAGAGCAACUGUGGGGAAAUGUACAACCCUUUUUGUGGAAGGCGCGAGGAAAACGUGUAUGCUGUGUUGGGCAUCUCUGCAGCACAUUACUCUCUGUCACUUCUUAAUGGAUCCUCCUAUUCCUACACUGAGACAUACAUUAAAAAUGCCUUUCCUCUCCCCCUUCCUUUUUCAAUCAGCUUGUGAAAAAGCUGCAGUUGAUGUUUAAGUGCCUGUAAUGUCACAUUGCCAAGCCUUCAAAGACUGCCAAAUAUCUCAGUGGAAAGCUUGGAUGUGAUGGGGUAUUUUUAAUGAUUAAGUGGCCUUUAUGCACGACAAAGGGUGCAAACACCAUUAUAAACAUGACUGAUGCAAUGCAUUUACAAAUCAUUAUUUAAAACAAUAUUCACAGAAAAGGAAUGCCAACAAAACUACUUCAAAAUGUGUGAAAAUAAGUCCAAGUGAAAGUGUUGGGGG